rnacentral:rRNA from 1 species
AGAGUUUGAUCCUGGCUCAGGACGAACGCUGGCGGCACGCUUAACACAUGCAAGUCGAACGAGAGAAGAGGAGCUUGCUUUUCUGAUCUAGUGGCGGACGGGUGAGUAACACGUGAGCAAUCUGCCUUUCAGAGGGGGAUACCGAUUGGAAACGAUCGUUAAUACCGCAUAACAUAAUUGAACCGCAUGAUUUGAUUAUCAAAGAUUUAUCGCUGAAAGAUGAGCUCGCGUCUGAUUAGCUAGUUGGUAAGGUAACGGCUUACCAAGGCGACGAUCAGUAGCCGGACUGAGGGGUUGAUCGGCCACAUUGGGACUGAGACACGGCCCAGACUCCUACGGGAGGCAGCAGUGGGGAAUAUUGCACAAUGGAGGAAACUCUGAUGCAGCGAUGCCGCGUGAGGGAAGAAGGUUUUAGGAUUGUAAACCUCUGUCUUCAGGGACGAAAAAAGACGGUACCUGAGGAGGAAGCUCCGGCUAACUACGUGCCAGCAGCCGCGGUAAUACGUAGGGAGCGAGCGUUGUCCGGAAUUACUGGGUGUAAAGGGAGCGUAGGCGGGAUCGCAAGUCAGAUGUGAAAACUAUGGGCUUAACCCAUAAACUGCAUUUGAAACUGUGGUUCUUGAGUGAAGUAGAGGUAAGCGGAAUUCCUAGUGUAGCGGUGAAAUGCGUAGAUAUUAGGAGGAACAUCAGUGGCGAAGGCGGCUUACUGGGCUUUAACUGACGCUGAGGCUCGAAAGCGUGGGGAGCAAACAGGAUUAGAUACCCUGGUAGUCCACGCCGUAAACGAUGACUACUAGGUGUGGGGGGACUGACCCCUUCCGUGCCGCAGCAAACGCAAUAAGUAAUCCACCUGGGGAGUACGACCGCAAGGUUGAAACUCAAAGGAAUUGACGGGGGCCCGCACAAGCAGUGGAGUAUGUGGAUUAAUUCGAAGCAACGCGAAGAACCUUACCAGGUCUUGACAUCGUAUGCAUAGCUCAGAGAUGAGUGAAAUCUCUUCGGAGACAUAUAGACAGGUGGUGCAUGGUUGUCGUCAGCUCGUGUCGUGAGAUGUUGGGUUAAGUCCCGCAACGAGCGCAACCCUUACUGUUAGUUGCUACGCAAGAGCACUCUAGCAGGACUGCCGUUGACAAAACGGAGGAAGGUGGGGAUGACGUCAAAUCAUCAUGCCCCUUAUGACCUGGGCCUCACACGUACUACAAUGGCUGUCAACAGAGGGAAGCAAAGCCGCGAGGUGGAGCGAACCCCUAAAAGCAGUCUUAGUUCGGAUUGUAGGCUGCAACCCGCCUACAUGAAGUCGGAAUUGCUAGUAAUCGCAGAUCAGCAUGCUGCGGUGAAUACGUUCCCGGGCCUUGUACACACCGCCCGUCACGCCAUGGGAGUCGGUAACACCCGAAGCCUGUAGUCUAACCGCAAGGAGGACGCAGUCGAAGGUGGGAUUGAUGACUGGGGUGAAGUCGUAACAAGGUA